rnacentral:misc_RNA from 1 species
UAAAUACUGCUCAGGUGAAAGGCAU